rnacentral:rRNA from 1 species
CUCAGAUUGAACGCUGGCGGCAGGCCUAACACAUGCAAGUCGAGCGGUAACAGAGAGUAGCUUGCUACUUUGCUGACGAGCGGCGGACGGGUGAGUAAUGCUUGGGAACAUGCCUUGAGGUGGGGGACAACAGUUGGAAACGACUGCUAAUACCGCAUAAUGUCUACGGACCAAAGGGGGCUUCGGCUCUCGCCUUUAGAUUGGCCCAAGUGGGAUUAGCUAGUUGGUGAGGUAAUGGCUCACCAAGGCGACGAUCCCUAGCUGGUCUGAGAGGAUGAUCAGCCACACUGGAACUGAGACACGGUCCAGACUCCUACGGGAGGCAGCAGUGGGGAAUAUUGCACAAUGGGCGAAAGCCUGAUGCAGCCAUGCCGCGUGUAUGAAGAAGGCCUUCGGGUUGUAAAGUACUUUCAGUUGUGAGGAAGGGUGUGUAGUUAAUAGCUGCGCAUCUUGACGUUAGCAACGAAU